rnacentral:rRNA from 1 species
AGGGAAUCUUCCGCAAUGGACGAAAGUCUGACGGAGCAACGCCGCGUGAGUGAUGAAGGUCUUCGGAUUGUAAACCUUUGUCCUUGGUGACGAAACAAAUGACGGUAGCCAAGGAGGAAGCUCCGGCUAACUACGUGCCAGCAGCCGCGGUAAUACGUAGGGAGCAAGCGUUGUCCGGAUUUACUGGGUGUAAAGGGUGCGUAGGCGGCUCUGCAAGUCAGGCGUGAAAACUAUGGGCUUAACCCAUAGACUGCGUUUGAAACUGUGGGGCUUGAGUGAAGUAGAGGUAGGCGGAAUUCCCGGUGUAGCGGUGAAAUGCGUAGAGAUCGGGAGGAACACCAGUGGCGAAGGCGGCCUACUGGGCUUUAACUGACGCUGAAGCACGAAAGCAUGGGUAGCAAAC